GGGCCAAAUCACCUUCUAAUCCCACAAACUUGCCUCACAUGACCUUCAAACCCCAUCCCCUACAAAAUUGGACGUAAACUUGGACUUCUUCAACGCAUUAUCUUAAGCACCGAUUUGACCUAACGAAUUUCGCCCAAGUUCCUCCGAAUGGCAUAACUGGCCCCCAGCCCAGUGAAUCCGUCAAGGAAGGAACUCCUUAACGCCCAAGACACAUCUCCUGGGAGCUUCCAACGCACACACCAUGGGUCAUUCUCCAUGAGGGUUUCGCGUCCCAGAUUGUGAAUAUCCCUUUUGUGAGAUUGCAUCGCCUGUUACCGUGCUGUUAAUGACCCUCGAAAACUCCAUCUGGAUCCGCGUUGUUCCCACUUUCAACCCUCGACCCACCCAGUCAUUUACUAUCAGACUCAACACUCUUGAAAGGCAUUGAAUGGAUUGGAUAUGGAUCAUCAAUUCUGGUUGAACGGUUGUGAGUGCUAGCCGACAUCAUGCCGCCACCUCCACCGCCACCGGGUCCCCCACCACCACCGGUGGGUGGGUUAUCACCCGCCAAAUUAGGCGUACCCGCUGGUCCCACGGAUCGGGGUGCGCUAUUAAAAUCCAUUCAGCAAGGCAAGGCCUUGAAAAAAACGGUGACCAAUGAUCGGAGUGGUCCGAGUGUGGGUGGCAAACCCACUGCCCCAGCUCAAAGUGGAAAUGGCCGGGCCGGAGGGGCUAGUUUGGGUCAAGCCUCUAGUGCUUCUACCCCUAAAUUACCGGGUAUUGGGGGAAUCUUUGCGGGUGGAUUCCCCACCCUAAAUCGAACACAAGGUGGAGUCCACACUGGACGAGCCGCAGAUGUCAGUCAUAGCACCACUAAUCUUGCAUCAACGCCGAAGGUCAAUGCCAAUACUAGCAUUUCGAGUACGCCUCAAAAUGGUAGUCAAGGUCGGAAUUACUUCAACCGGUCAAAUUCAAAUGCAGGCAUCCAUCAGCACAAUUCGUUCUCCUCCUCUAGUCUGCUGUAUUCAUCAAGGUCUAUGUCGGAUGAGAAAUACAACUUCUUCUUUUCUUCUUCAUCUGGGAACUCCACACCCUCGCUGACUCCUCCGAGUGCUAGUCCCGGCCCCUCCGUCGGAUCCUCUUCUUCCUCUUCUUAUCGAAAACCAAGCCACGCCCCAGGCCCGCCAGAAAAUUUGGUGCCUCGGGCUAAGCCCUCAAGUAAGGUACAGCAUCCUAAUUCCAAACCACCACCUCCCCCUGUGCCAAAUGGGACUGGUCCGUCAUCCUUGAAUGGUGGUGGUCAGCCGCCUCCCAAGCCUCGACACACUCUAAUUCAAACAGUGGGUAACCAACCCGCCAUGCGGGCCAAGAGUUUUAACCACAAAGCUCAGAAUCCGGGUUAUGAGAGCCAGAGGUCGAGGGACGAUUCGUCUCUGUCCGCCCCUCCACCACCAACUCGGACGGUGUCACAGAGCAGUGGGACUUUGAAACGACCUGGUGGUCCUGCUCCGCCUCCACCCACGGGGGGGAUGGGCCGAGUAGCCACUCGGUCUGCCCCCAUGAAACCCCCAACACAACCUCCCCCACCCCCACCACACCGUGAUCCAGGAGGUCACAGUCAACCACAGCCUUCAGUUGUUCAGAAGCAGGCGUCGUCACACUAUGCCCGAAGUAACGUGAACAUGGGUGGCGGAUCUAAUGACGCCCCCACACCGCCCACAAGGCGACAUUCCCUCAGAAACAACAACCAUAGCAGCAACAACAACGUCAGUUCUGGCUACAAUUCGUCGGCCUCCUCAAACUCGGGCGGAGAAAGCUUUGAGCAACGCUUCCAAAACCGAUUCAAGACGCCGCAAUUUCUGCCGCCUCCCGAGCCAUACGUGGGGGUGACCAAGACUUACCCCAGCAAGACACAACCGCAACCCUUGCUCAACACCGGAAGGAUGGGGGGGAUAACGAUGCUCAAACUGGGCAUGUUGCCAAGAAAAAUCCGCUCAAAGGAGCACCUGAACGACAGUCGAGAAUCAGCACCCCGUUGCAAACUUAAAAUGUGGCUAACUCGCUCGAAAAUCAAAGAAAUCCUUCAAUGGUCCAACCCUUUAGAGUCAGGGAUCACCUUUGGAACGGUGUUGGUCUUGCUCACCGCAGUUCGACAUGUCUCCCUCAUCUCGGCUUUCAGUACCUUGGUACUAGCCUUGCUCACUGCCACCAUGGCAUUUAGGAUCUACCGAAGCGUCUUGGCCGCCAUCAACAAGACCAACGAUGGCCAUCCAUUUCAGGUACAUUUGGAAAUAGACUUGACCUUACCUGAUAAUCAAGUCCACGAACUGGCCCUUUGGUUACUAACUUACCUGAAUGAAGCCCUAGCAGGAAUGAAGUCUGUAUUUCUUCUCCAAGACGUUUUUGCCACGACCAAAUUUGCAGCAACCAUGUAUUCCAUGACUUACGUAGGCAAAUGGAUGAAUGGAUUGACUCUUCUGAUUCUGGUAUGGGUGAUUUUAUUCACUUUACCCAAGAUUUACAAGGACAAUCAAGCUGUCGUUGAUGAGGGCUUGGCUCCCAUGAAGAUGAAAAUGGAUGAGCUCUCGCUCAAAAUGCGUGAGAUUUUUCCAAGUCAACACACGCCCGCCAAAACGGAUUAAAUUUUGGCGGGAAUGUUUAAAAUCAGGAUGUGGAGAAACUCCCAUUACCUUUGUUGCGCCAUGUUGCAGCCCUUGAGAUGUGUUUUUGCCUUUUUAGAUCAAUUUGUGGUAAGGUGGACAAUUGUGUGGUCAAUCAAUUCAUGGGAAUUUGAGAUUUGACACUCAGUUUACUAACAUCUCUUGAUCAGUCACAAGUGAUUCAGCGCCGCUCAAUGUCUACAAUGAAGGUCGUAAUCCUAACCUUGUUCAUCAGCCAAAUUGGCUUGAGCUUUCAAGCUAAUGGUCUCAAUACCAUGAGCGACUUGCCUCCAAUGGAUCAAGCAAAAGAUUCAAAGUUGGAUAUGUUGGGAAAUGAGCGACAAGAAGUUGGCGGAGGUAGGGUACUCCUCCCCCUGGAAUCUGAACAUACAAUGAAGAAUCACACAACAACAACGACGACGACUAUCCCUACAACUACAACAGCUACUACAACUACUACAAC